rnacentral:rRNA from 1 species
GCGCGAAACCUCCGCAAUGCGCGCAAGCGCGACGGGGCUACCCCGAGUGCCAUCUUUAUGAUGGCUUUUGCCUAGUGUAAAAAGCUAGGCGAAUAAAGGGGGGGCAAGACGGGUGUCAGCCGCCGCGGUAAUACCCGCUCCCUGAGUGGUGGGGACUUUUAUUGGGCUUAAAGCGUCCGUAGCGGGCCUAGUAAGUUUCCCGUUAAAUCCAGUGGCUUAACCACUGGGCUGCGGGAAAUACUG